rnacentral:rRNA from 1 species
AUUGAACGCUGGCGGCAGGCCUAACACAUGCAAGUCGAGCGAGCUGCGGACGGGUGAGUAAUGUAUGGGGAACUGCCCGAUGGAUGGGGAUAACUACUGGAAACGGUAACUCAUACCGCAUACUAUCGGAUGUACCCAUAUGGGAGUAGCUCGUGGGUGGUGUAAUGGCUCACCUAGGCGACGAUCCCUAGCUGGUCGGAGAGGAUGAUCAGCCACACGGGGACUGAGACACGGCCCAGACUCCUACGGGAGGCAGCAGUGGGGAAUAUUGCACAAUGGGCGAAAGCCUGAUGCAGCCAUGCCGCGUGUAUGAAGAAGGCCUUAGGGUUGUAAAGUACUUUCAGCGGGGAGGCGUUACCCGCAGAAGAAGCACCGGCUAACUCCGUGCCAGCAGCCGCGGUAAUAC